GGGGUUGUGGCUCAGUGGUAGAGUGCUUGCCUAGCAUGUAUGAGGCCCUGGGUUCAAUCCUCAGUGCCA
rnacentral:tRNA from 1 species